UGGGUUGUGGCUCAGUGGUAGAGCAUUUGCCUAGCACAUGCAAGGCCCUGGGUUUGAUCCUCAGCACCACAU
rnacentral:tRNA from 1 species